CCGGCCAGUGAUGAGGAACAUUCACCAUCUUUCGUUCGAGUCUCGCGACUGUGAGACCAACUCCAUGCACCGCUCUGAGGCCUC
rnacentral:snoRNA from 1 species